rnacentral:tRNA from 1 species
GCCUUCCGCUUACACCGGAAAAAUGUCUGUGUAACCCAUACCAUUUUGA